rnacentral:rRNA from 1 species
AUUGAACGCCGGCGGCAGGCUUAACACAUGCAAGUCGAGCGGGGGAAGGUAGCUUGCUACUGGACCUAGCGGCGGACGGGUGAGUAAUGCUUAGGAAUCUGCCUAUUAGUGGGGGACAACAUCUCGAAAGGGAUGCUAAUACCGCAUACGUCCUACGGGAGAAAGCAGGGGAUCUUCGGACCUUGCGCUAAUAGAUGAGCCUAAGUCGGAUUAGCUAGUUGGUGGGGUAAAGGCCUACCAAGGCGACGAUCUGUAGCGGGUCUGAGAGGAUGAUCUGCCACACUGGGGCGGAGAGACGGCCCAGACUCCUACGGGAGGAGGCAGUGGGGAAUAUUGGACAAUGGGGGGAACCCUGAUCCAGCCAUGCCGCGUGUGUGAAGAGGGCCUUAUGGUUGUAAAGCACUUUAAGCGAGGAGGAGGCUACUCUAGUUAAUACCUAGGGAUAGUGGACGUUACUCGCAGAAUAAGCACCGGCUAACUCUGUGCCAGCAGCCGCCGUAA